rnacentral:rRNA from 1 species
GGGUUGUGAGGUUAAGCGACUAAGCGUACACGGUGGAUGCCAUGGCAGUCAGAGGCGAUGAAGGACGUGCUAAUCUGCGAUAAGCGUCGGUAAGGUGAUAUGAACCGUUAUAACCGGCGAUUUCCGAAUGGGGAAACCCAGUGUGAUUCGUCACACUAUCAUUAACUGAAUCCAUAGGUUAAUGAGGCGAACCGGGGGAACUGAAACAUCUAAGUACCCCGAGGAAAAGAAAUCAACCGAGAUUCCCCCAGUAGCGGCGAGCGAACGGGGAGCAGCCCAGAGCCUGAAUCAGUGUGUGUGUUAGUGGAAGCGUCUGGAAAGGCGCGCGAUACAGGGUGACAGCCCCGUACACAAAAAUGCACAUGCUGUGAGCUCGAUGAGUAGGGCGGGACACGUGGUAUCCUGUCUGAAUAUGGGGGGACCAUCCUCCAAGGCUAAAUACUCCUGACUGACCGAUAGUGAACCAGUACCGUGAGGGAAAGGCGAAAAGAACCCCGGCGAGGGGAGUGAAAAAGAACCUGAAACCGUGUACGUACAAGCAGUGGGAGCACGCUUAGGCGUGUGACUGCGUACCUUUUGUAUAAUGGGUCAGCGACUUAUAUUCUGUAGCAAGGUUAACCGAAUAGGGGAGCCGAAGGGAAACCGAGUCUUAACUGGGCGUUAAGUUGCAGGGUAUAGACCCGAAACCCGGUGAUCUAGCCAUGGGCAGGUUGAAGGUUGGGUAACACUAACUGGAGGACCGAACCGACUAAUGUUGAAAAAUUAGCGGAUGACUUGUGGCUGGGGGUGAAAGGCCAAUCAAACCGGGAGAUAGCUGGUUCUCCCCGAAAGCUAUUUAGGUAGCGCCUCGUGAAUUCAUCUCCGGGGGUAGAGCACUGUUUCGGCAAGGGGGUCAUCCCGACUUACCAACCCGAUGCAAACUGCGAAUACCGGAGAAUGUUAUCACGGGAGACACACGGCGGGUGCUAACGUCCGUCGUGAAGAGGGAAACAACCCAGACCGCCAGCUAAGGUCCCAAAGUCAUGGUUAAGUGGGAAACGAUGUGGGAAGGCCCAGACAGCCAGGAUGUUGGCUUAGAAGCAGCCAUCAUUUAAAGAAAGCGUAAUAGCUCACUGGUCGAGUCGGCCUGCGCGGAAGAUGUAACGGGGCUAAACCAUGCACCGAAGCUGCGGCAGCGACGCUGAUGCGUUGUUGGGUAGGGGAGCGUUCUGUAAGCCUGUGAAGGUGUGCUGUGAGGCAUGCUGGAGGUAUCAGAAGUGCGAAUGCUGACAUAAGUAACGAUAAAGCGGGUGAAAAGCCCGCUCGCCGGAAGACCAAGGGUUCCUGUCCAACGUUAAUCGGGGCAGGGUGAGUCGACCCCUAAGGCGAGGCCGAAAGGCGUAGUCGAUGGGAAACAGGUUAAUAUUCCUGUACUUGGUGUUACUGCGAAGGGGGGACGGAGAAGGCUAUGUUGGCCGGGCGACGGUUGUCCCGGUUUAAGCGUGUAGGCUGGUUUUCCAGGCAAAUCCGGAAAAUCAAGGCUGAGGCGUGAUGACGAGGCACUACGGUGCUGAAGCAACAAAUGCCCUGCUUCCAGGAAAAGCCUCUAAGCAUCAGGUAACAUCAAAUCGUACCCCAAACCGACACAGGUGGUCAGGUAGAGAAUACCAAGGCGCUUGAGAGAACUCGGGUGAAGGAACUAGGCAAAAUGGUGCCGUAACUUCGGGAGAAGGCACGCUGAUAUGUAGGUGAAGCGACUUGCUCGUGGAGCUGAAAUCAGUCGAAGAUACCAGCUGGCUGCAACUGUUUAUUAAAAACACAGCACUGUGCAAACACGAAAGUGGACGUAUACGGUGUGACGCCUGCCCGGUGCCGGAAGGUUAAUUGAUGGGGUCAGCGCAAGCGAAGCUCUUGAUCGAAGCCCCGGUAAACGGCGGCCGUAACUAUAACGGUCCUAAGGUAGCGAAAUUCCUUGUCGGGUAAGUUCCGACCUGCACGAAUGGCGUAAUGAUGGCCAGGCUGUCUCCACCCGAGACUCAGUGAAAUUGAACUCGCUGUGAAGAUGCAGUGUACCCGCGGCAAGACGGAAAGACCCCGUGAACCUUUACUAUAGCUUGACACUGAACAUUGAGCCUUGAUGUGUAGGAUAGGUGGGAGGCUUUGAAGUGUGGACGCCAGUCUGCAUGGAGCCGGCCUUGAAAUACCACCCUUUAAUGUUUGAUGUUCUAACGUUGACCCGUGAUCCGGGUUGCGGACAGUGUCUGGUGGGUAGUUUGACUGGGGCGGUCUCCUCCUAAAGAGUAACGGAGGAGCACGAAGGUUGGCUAAUCCUGGUCGGACAUCAGGAGGUUAGUGCAAUGGCAUAAGCCAGCUUGACUGCGAGCGUGACGGCGCGAGCAGGUGCGAAAGCAGGUCAUAGUGAUCCGGUGGUUCUGAAUGGAAGGGCCAUCGCUCAACGGAUAAAAGGUACUCCGGGGAUAACAGGCUGAUACCGCCCAAGAGUUCAUAUCGACGGCGGUGUUUGGCACCUCGAUGUCGGCUCAUCACAUCCUGGGGCUGAAGUAGGUCCCAAGGGUAUGGCUGUUCGCCAUUUAAAGUGGUACGCGAGCUGGGUUUAGAACGUCGUGAGACAGUUCGGUCCCUAUCUGCCGUGGGCGCUGGAGAACUGAGGGGGGCUGCUCCUAGUACGAGAGGACCGGAGUGGACGCAUCACUGGUGUUCGGGUUGUCAUGCCAAUGGCACUGCCCGGUAGCUAAAUGCGGAAGAGAUAAGUGCUGAAAGCAUCUAAGCACGAAACUUGCCCCGAGAUGAGUUCUCCCUGACUCCUUGAGAGUCCUGAAGGAACGUUGAAGACGACGACGUUGAUAGGCCGGGUGUGUAAGCGCAGCGAUGCGUUGAGCUAACCGGUACUAAUGAACCGUGAGGCUUAACCUUACAACGCCGAAGCUGUU